rnacentral:misc_RNA from 1 species
GCACUACAACUACCAACAGAGGAUGCACAACUAUCAGCAUGCACAGAUAUUGAGGACUCGACAAGAAAACUAUCAUUCCCCCUAUUUUUAUCCAUUUUAGAAUACUCAGCUGUUCCAACAUUAAAGGAACAGAGAACAUUAUUUUUACCCAAUAUUGCAUUUGGAUAAACAACUGCAUCUACCUUUUCAAGAGUUGUAGAUGGAUG